CAGGUCUUGAUAAUGAGAACUGAGCAGCUUCAGACAGGCAGGGGGAGCAAGAUGGAGUCACAGACCCAGGUCCUCAUGUCCUUGCUGCUCUGGGUGUCUGGUGCCUGUGGAGAUAUCAUGAUGACUCAGUCUCCAACCUCCUUGGCUGUGUCAUCAGGAGAAAAGGUCACCAUCAUUUGCAAGUCCAGUCAGAGUCUUUCACUUGGUAGCAAUAACUAUUUGGCCUGGUACCAGCAGAAACCAGGGCAGUCUCCUAAACUGCUGAUCUACUUAGCAUCCACUCGGCACACUGGGGUCCCUGCUCGCUUCACAGGCAGUGGAUCUGGAACAGAUUUCACUCUCACCAUCAGCAGUGUCCAGGCUGAAGACAUGGGAGAUUAUUACUGUUUGCAAGAUCAUAGUAUUCCUCCCACAGUGCUGCAGCCUCCAACAAAAUCCUCCUCUGAGAGUCUUACCACCUGCCUGCACCAUAAACAGCCCUGGACCUGCACACUUCCCCUUUCUGCCUGAGAGCCUAAAUACUCA